rnacentral:rRNA from 1 species
AGCUCCAAUAGCGUAUAUUAAAGUUGUUGCAGUUAAAAAGCUCGUAGUUGGAUUUCGGGCGCGUGCGCAUGGUCCGCCGAAAGGUGUGCACCGUGACUGUGCGCGUCCUCUUUCCGUAGGCCGCGUGUGCCUUAACUGGGUGUGCGUGGAAUGCGGAUCUUUUUACUUUGAAUAAUUAGAGUGUUCAAAGCAGGCUUUCG